GAAGAAAUCAUCUGCUUAGCUGUUCACAGGAAUCCUUCCCACUGCUUGAUGGUUAAAAGGAGUCUGGCUCUGAGACACACCAACCACUCACAUGUCUGGUUGAACUCACCGGGACCUGUGAGUAGCACAUGACCCCCCUGUGAAGGUGUUGCUCAUUGCUGUGGGUGAAUUGUUCAAGGCAACAGAUGAAAAGGAUGAGCAAUUCCUUGCUGAAAAGGAUGAGCAAUUUUGAUGGAAAAAGGACACCAAGUUGGCACUGAAAACUGACACCACGAGCUGACCCUGUUUGGUGGAAACAAUGCUGGUGGGAGGACUGGAGCCACCUCGCUGUUCCUUGUGUGUGUGGCACUGGCUGCAGGGGAGUUUUUUUGCCAGCACACUGGAUGCUGAGCUGGGAGAAAAGGUGGAGGAGCUGCCAGGGGCUGUCUGGAUGUGAGCACAGAGGAAGUGUGAGCCAUUCCACCCGCCUGCAGGAACCAGGCCUUCUCC